GACGAACCGUCCAAACGUUAUUCGGAAUCACUGGGCUUACAGAGUUCGUAGGCGGUCUGGAAAGUUGGGUGUGAAAUCCCUCGGCCUAACCGAGGAACUGCGCUUGAAACUACCAGACUCGAGGGGGAUAGAGGAAAGCGGAACUGAUGGUGGAGCGGUGAAAUGCGUUGAUAUCAUCAGGAACACCGGUGGCGAAGGCGGCUUUCUGGGUCUUACCUGACGCUGAGGCGCGAAGGCGUGGGGAGCGAACGGG
rnacentral:rRNA from 1 species